rnacentral:sRNA from 1 species
GUCAUCCAAGUGGCCGCGAUCCGAACACUUCACCAGAUCAUUCAAUCGGUAGGAGCAACGGACUGUUUGUACAAAGGGCAUGGACGUAGUCAACACGAGCUGAUGACUCGCGCUUACUAAGAAUUCCUCGUUGGAAACCAACAAUUACAAUGAUCUAUCCUCAUUACGAUGAAAUUUCAAAAGUUACCCGGGUCUGUCGGCCAAAGUGUGAACUCGUUGAAUACAUUAGUGUAGCGCGCGUGUGACUCAGAACAUUUAAGGACAUCACAGACCUGUUAUUGCCUCAAACUUCCUUGGCCUAAACGGUCAUAGUCCCUCUAGAAGCCGUUUACUUUUCUUAUAAUACUCGAUUGCUUUUCUAUAAAUCUGCUAGUAACACUUAUUA